AUUGUCUUCCUUGGCACCUGGCUUUUUGAAUGCUUCAGAGGGCCUCUGAAGUGUCCAGGAAAGAGAGGUAAUUGUGACUCCAUACUAUGGGACACCCCCCUCAGCUGCAUCCUCCAAACUAGAAAGAGUUAAUUUCCCAAACCUUAAACUACUUGGCUUGGGAUUGGAUUCAGAGGAAGGGAGCUCAGAAGCCCAACAUGCCUGCAAAAGGGCCAUCAGACUCCAAACAGUUAUGCAACUGGAGCCUCCUGAGGAUGACCCCUUCUGCCUGGGACCCUUAGAUCAGCCUCUAGAGAAGCUUUGACUGCUGUUUCCCCAAAACAGCACCCCCUGCCAUCAGGAAGCAGAGAACAAGAAGAUUUAUACUAGCCAUGCAAGGAAUCUUUGGAAGUCUAACAGACCUGACUUGAAGAGAAGGCUUUAAACAAGAAAUUCUUCAUUCUGGAACAGUGAUUCUUAAAGUGCGGUUCAGAGACCCUGGGAGACACUGACAUUCUUUCAGAGUGUGAGUGAGGAUUUCCUCUUUGCAACUACAAUCUGUGUAAGGUUGGAUUUUCUUUACAUACAUAAACUAAAAUAAGAUUGCAAUAAGAUGAAUGCAGAAGCAGAUAAGAGAAUCCAGCUGUCUUAAGUUAGACUUCACAGAGAUUUGCAAAAAUCCAAACAAGACCACUCUCGUCAUUAAAGUUAUUUUCCAUUUGUUAUGGUGAACUUAUUUUGCAGGAAAUUUGUUAUUUAUAGUAACAUACAAUUUUGUUUUUUGAUCAUUUUAAAUAAAUUAAUAAAUAUUAUAAGUUUUCUAUUUUUAAAAUUAUACAUGUCAGAAAAGAACAGUUCUUUCAGGUCCUCAACAAUUUUAAGACUAUUAACUUGUUUUGGAUCAAAAAGUUCUAGAUUUGCUAUUCUAGACAUGAAUCCUUUGAAAUUAAUUGGCUUCAUAAGUAUAUUUUUCAAGUUUGUGGCUUGUCCUGUAACCUUCUACUGUGUAGAAGUUUUAAAUUUUAAUUUAAAGAAAUUUAAAAUUUUUUCAUUUUUGUUUGUGCUUUUGGUG
rnacentral:lncRNA from 1 species